rnacentral:rRNA from 1 species
CACGUAGGGGGCAAGCGUUGUCCGGAUUUAUUGGGCGUAAAGAGCUCGUAGGCGGUUCGGUAAGUCGGGUGUGAAACCUCCAGGCUCAACCUGGAGUCGCCACUCGAUACUGCUGUGACUAGAGUCCGGUAGGGGAGCGUGGAAUUCCUGGUGUAGCGGUGAAAUGCGCAGAUAUCAGGAGGAACACCAGCGGCGAAGGCGGCGCUCUGGGCCGGAACUGACGCUGAGGAGCGAAAGCGUGGGGAGCAAACAGG